CAGCACUUAGUAAACAUUCAUAUCCCCUGCCUCCAGAGUUCCUUAAGGUUCAAUUGAUGGAAUGCCUCCUCUGCACCAGCACCUGGGCAGAGACGGAGUUUCACCGUGUUAGCCAGGAUGGUCCCGAUCUCCUGACCUCGUGAUCCGCCUGCCUCGGCCUCCCAAAGUGCUGGGAUUACAGGCAUGAUGAGCCACUGCGCCCGGCCUAUUUCAACUUAAGUGAAAAUCUCACCUGUGGCCAGCGGCUACCGUGCUGGACAGCACAG
rnacentral:lncRNA from 1 species